UCUCAAUAGCUCAAACUUGUUCUUUUCUAUUGAAGUGUUAGGAUUUCAUUGAAAUCUACCUGAAGUUGGAAUCUGACGUUCUGCAAUCCUCUUUGAAUAGGACUUUUUAACACGGGAAGAUACAAACUUAUUUGAGGCCCGAAGAUUAAUAUACAUGGGCGAGUUGAAUUUAGCUGCUUAGUUGCAUUUUUCGCAUCAUGAUUUUGACAAAACUACCUUGCUGGGGCUAGUAGCUUUUUUGUUCGUUUUUUUGUUUUCCUAAUUAACAAGGGGCUUAAAUUUGUUGGUGAAGAAGAAUGGUAUUUGGUAAGUGGCAUAUUUAAUGGCCCUUGUUGAUUAAUAUACUACUUUCAUGGGUUUUAUGAACUUCCAGUAUUAGGUAAGUGAUAUCAACUGCUUCACUAGCUUGUGGGCUGUGCCUCCCUUGUUCAAGAAAAUCGUUAAUUACCCCGAACUUUUUUUACAUAGUAUAACCCUAAGUGCUGAACGGCAAUGCAAGGGUGAAAUCACACAUCAGUAGUGAAGAAAAAUGUUGAUCUCAAAGAAAACGCAGUGUGCGUAGGAAUAGGUACAAUGGUUACCCAAGUAGUUUUUCUGUCACUAACAGGCUAAGGUGGAAAUUUUGCAAGAAAGAACUGUUCUAAAAGACUAAAACUCCAAUGGGAACUCCAAAUACAUUAUCGUCAUUGUUCUGCUUGUUUGAGAUUUUUCGAGUGAAGGUUCUCUUAGUUGGGGCUCAUUCUUGUUACAUGGUUGAAGUCUCUUGAGUUUUGACUGAGAAGAUGUACUGAUCUUUUUAGGACAAUAAGACAGAAUGCCAUGCGAAUAGAAUACGUCACUUCCGAUUGUGGCAGUGUUGCCAUAUUUUUUGAUGUGGACACAAUUGUAUUCUAGUAUAUUAGGGAGUCUUUGUUCGUUUUUGCGGUUCUGGUGACUAAAUUAUCAUCUGUCCUUGUCUUCUAUGCCAUAUUUGUUGAUGUAGAACACACCUCUACAUUUUUCUAGUAUGUUAGGGGAGUCUGUGCUUGUUUUUGCGGUGAAUCUGGUGACUAAGUUAUCACCUGUCUUUGUCUUCUAUGGUAUUAUUGGUUUGCUGCCAUGAGUUGGUACUGGUAGACAUAUGGAUUUAGCUCCUAACGUGAUUCCCAAGUAUCAGACCUUCACUUUCCUUAGAAAAUGGUGUGCUAUGGCAGGUAAUGAGUGAAACUGGAUGACCUCACUAUUUGAACCCAAGCAAGUAGAAACUAGCUCAUGGACUGUUGCUUUGCACUAGCUUGGCCAAUUCUUGUGAUUGACUUUGUUGCCAUCACACAAAUUGGCCAUUACCCAUGCUUUGUUAUCACAUGUAUUCAUGCCUUGAAUAGUUGAAUUCCAUAAUGCACCCUUUAUUGGGGAUUUUGGUGCCAUAUAUCAGUCAAGUGGCUUGACCUAGAACUCUAGUCUCUGACUUAUGUAAAGAAUCCUUCUGGCGAUUAAGGAACAAGUUAUGAAGAAUGAUAAAACUUGAGUAAGUUCACGGGCUUAGAUUGAUAGUCCUUUCCUCCUUUUGAGUUACUAGACAGAACAUUGGAUUAUUCUUUAAGGGAAUCAGUAGACCACAAACAUUUGUCUUGUAAAGGAAACUUUUCUCUAUGUUGACAAGGAAAAUGAAGUUAUUUUUUAGAUGCUUUUAAAAAAAAAAAUUUAUUUAUCUUAGUUGCUUUUCAUAUUUGUUCAAGAGAUUGGACAUACCUCAAUAGGCAAUCUUGGCUACUUGCAUAGCUGUUGUUGGUAAGGAAUGACAGGGAGUCAAAACAUUUGUUGCUUUAAAUUUGAAUUAAAGAAGAACUAAUAUAUUGAGAAAAAGGAAAAA